rnacentral:misc_RNA from 1 species
AAGUCGUAACAAGGUUUCCGUAGGUGAACCUGCGGAAGGAUCAUUAUUGAAACUUGAAUCGUAGCAUUGAGAACUGUUGCUGACCUGUUAAAGGGUAUGUGCACGUUCGAUGUGUUGCGUUCUAUUCAUCCACCUGUGCACCUUUGUAGACUUGAUUAACUUUCGCUCUCGAGCGGUUAGAAGGGUUGCUUUCGAGCUCCCUUUGUCUAUCAAGUCUAUGUCUAUAUAAUCUCUUGUAUGUCUAGAAUGUCUUGUUUAUGGGACGCAAGUCCUUUAAAUCUUAUACAACUUUCAACAACGGAUCUCUUGGCUCUC